CGUCAGCCCCGUGAGUCUUGUGUACUCAUUCAAGUCAGUGAAGUCAACAUCAAGCACGACCGUUUCCUAACCCCACCUGAGUAGUUGUGUUGCCUAAACCUUGUA